ensembl:snRNA U6 U6 spliceosomal RNA
UUGCUACGGCAGCACAUAUACUAAAAUUGGAUCGAUACAGAGAAGAUUAGCAUGGCCCCUGCGAAAGGAUGACACACAAAUCCGUGAAGGGCAGUCGUGGGCU